ensembl:lncRNA
CGGAGACAAUGUUCCAUUCUAGAUCCCUACUGAACUGAGGGGAGAUGGGAUAGCAAGCACAGUUCUGCUCUCUAUGGGCUCCAGUCUCAAGGGCCAAAGGAAAGGUCACACCAGCACAUUAACCGUGGGAAGCCAUGUUGAUGCUGAUACCUGGGUCAUUUCCACCGAUAGCCUUGUAUCAUCCACACAGAAGGAAGAUUCUGAGACCUGUAUUCAGUUGCCUGUUGAGCUUGAGGAAUUCUUAGAAAGGAGGAGAUCUACAUGUUUCCACGAUCAUCCCUGCCUCUAUGCACUAGAUGCCAUAGCACCCUCUCUCACAGAUGUGGCAACCAAAAAUGUCUCUAGACAUUCUCAAAUGUCACCUGGAGGUGGAAGAGACAAAAUCCUCCCUUGGUUGAGAACCAUUGAUGAAGAAUUAGAGAUCUUUGCAUGUCCACUGGCUGGAAGACUAUAAAGAGGUGUCUUCUGUAUGUCUGCUUCCCUAGGAGCUCCUAACUUUUGGCAAUCAUGUUUCUGCAUAGAUGAUUUUACCUCCACCAGACAUAUCAGUGUUAUAGAUCAGUGCUUAUGUUACCUUACCGUACAUCCCUACCGAGAGCAACAAGGAGCUGUGUAUAGUUCACCAAAUCAAACUUCUAUAAAAUCAACAAUGUAAUCCAGAAAACCCCAGGUUUAUUGGGGAUCUAUUAAGUGUGUUCACUGUAUCACCUCUCGUUCUUUCAACUCUCCUGAGGGAUAGGUAUCAGUAACCUCAUUUUAUGAGUGAGAAAUUUGACGCUCAGAAUAGUUAACCUGGGAGUGGGAGCUAGGAUUUCAUCCCAGAUGCAGUUUGCUCCAAAGCUCAUGUAACUUCCUUGUUUCUGAGUGCCUCACAAUGUUCUCGAUGAAAUGCUGCACUGCACGGCUCUGGAGCAGUGUCAUGCAGUGGUCCUGUUGCCUCUGGAGCCACACAGAUUGUGCCACACACAGGCAGGCUUCCAGCAUGCUGUCUGCCAAGAACUCUGGGGGCCUGCAUCACUCUCCCAGGCUGACCUUGCAAUGCUUUGUAGAUUCCCAGGAAACUCGAGCACCUCUUUCAAGCGCUUUACUGUCUUUGGAUAUUGGCCAAACCUUCUUCCACUUGUCUUAUUUGAAUUGUGACUGUGAUAAAAAUUCCUCCUUCAGGGAAUGAGGUGGCCUGAUCUGAGCUCACUAUUCUAGAAGCACAUUCUGAGAAGUUGUGCCCUCAAGACUAUCUUUUGUCAUUUCAGUGCUACUGGUGGACUUGUCUCCUCCAGAGUCCCCAGAUCUUUGGAGGUCAUAUUGCCAAUGUAAACUUGCAGCAAUUACCUAUAAAGUUCCAAACAAAAGUCUCGCUGGCCUAUUUUUAUGAACCUCAAAAGACUUGGCGUCAGUGUAGACACCGCCUUAGUGGUUCCUCUUGUAAACUGAGCCUUGCAGUGCAGACGUGUGACCAAGGUUAUCCCUGGAAAGAACGUCAUGGGCCUCAGUGGAAAGUUGCUGGACAAGCCCCAGACUGUGUUAUGAAACAAACCCUUGUUUCCAGGGUGGGACACUUGCUGAAUGAUCUGUGUUAUGUGGUUGCAAGUAAGAAUGACAAAAAUAAAGCAUCCUUAAUUUCUGGGAAAGUCAGUGCUCGAACUUCAAGAAUGAGUUAUUGAGGGAGGGGAUGACGUCUCCUGGGUUGGGAGGUCUACUGGAGAAAGCCCAAUAGCUUUCCCAACUGGGGCCGCUUCAUCACCCCUGGGGACUGAGCUGUGUUUCUUGGGCUGGAGAACAGAAGGAGCCGGUAGUUCAUCAUGUUGACAGCCAGUCAUGGGGGCCUGGAGGCCUGUGUUCCCAAUCACAGGGUUCCUG